rnacentral:lncRNA from 1 species
ACAGUUCUAGCUGCGGCAGGGCCCUUGGUCGAUCCUCUCUACCCUCAGGCUGGCAUCGAAUGAACCUAUCGAGCCGACCUCGUCUGAUGAGCUCCUCGAUCUCAUCUCGAAGCUGAAUGCAUUCCUCCGUGUCGUGGCCGUGGUCACGAUGGUAGAGGCAGAACUUAUUAGGAUUGUGCUUUUCGGGGUGCGUGCGCAUCCUUUCUGACCUU